CCAAUAGCGUAUAUUAAAGUUGUUGCAGUUAAAAAGCUCGUAGUUGAAUUUCGGGAUUCUACCGUCGGUCGGGCUAACAAGUCUGUACUGGUGUGUAGAAUUUCUACCUUCUGGGGAACCAUCAUGUUAUUAAUUUAGCGUGGUGGGAAACCAGGACCUUUACCUUGAAAAAAUUAGAGUGUUCAAAGCAGGCUUACGUCUGAAUACAUUAGUAUGGAAUAAUAGAAUAGGACGGUGGUCCUGUUUUGUUGGUUUCUGAAUCACCGUAAUGAUUAAUAGGGAUAGUUGGGGGCAUUAGUAUUCAAUUGUCAGAGGUGAAAUUCUUGGAUUUAUUGAAGACUAACUUCUGCGAAAGCAUUUGCCAAGGAUGUUUUCAUUAAUCAAGAACGAAAGUUAGGGGAUCGAAGACGAUCAGAUACCGUCGUAGUCUUAACCAUAAACUAUGCCGACUAGGGAUCGGACGAUGUUAACCUUUAUUGACUCGUUCGGCGCCUUACG
rnacentral:rRNA from 1 species